rnacentral:rRNA from 1 species
GAUGAACGCUAGCGGCAGGCCUAAUACAUGCAAGUCGAACGGUGUCUUCGGACAUAGUGGCGCACGGGUGCGUAACACGUGUGCAACCUACCUUACAUUGGGGGAUAGCCUCUCGAAAGGGAGAUUAAUACCGCAUAAGACAGUAGCUGGGCAUCCAGCAGCUGUUAAAGAUUUAUCGAUGUAAGCUGGGCAUGCGUCCAAUUAGCUAGUUGGUGAGGUAACGGCUCACCAAGGCAAUGAUUGGUAGGGGAACUGAGAGGUCAAUCCCCCACACUGGCACUGAGAUACGGGCCAGACUCCUACGGGAGGCAGCAGUAGGGAAUAUUGGGCAAUGGACGCAAGUCUGACCCAGCCAUGCCGCGUGCAGGAUGAAGGCGUUAUGCGUUGUAAACUGCUUUUAUACAGGAAGAAACGACUCUUGCGAGAGGCAUUGACGGUACUGUAUGAAUAAGCACCGGCUAACUCCGUGCCAGCCGCCGCCGUAAAAC